rnacentral:lncRNA from 1 species
CCUGGUUUUUGGGUUUGGUUUUUUGGUUUUAGUUUUUUCUAGUCGGUUUUUUUAGGAGGCCCUAACUGUCUCCAACUUGUAAGCUUAGUUUAUCCCGCCUAAUGAAUGAAGCAGAUAGCGUGCUAUCUUUUUCUUAAAAAAAAAAAAAAAGUUCCAAGGAUGAUCGAGAACGUAGAGAAUAUAUAUAGGAUGUGCAUGUAUAGUGAAAUUAAAU